AUGAAAAAUGAAAUUCAAUACUGCCCAAGAUAUAUUGAGAACCAACUACGAGUAGAGAGUGUUUUCUUUGAAUCGGUGUUCUACCAUGAUUAUGCUCCGACCAGAAGUUUUUUGAAUUUCACUAUGUUGGUUUUGGAACAUUUAGUUCACAAUAUCUCAUUCUCUACAAAGAUCUUGUUAUCACCAAACCAUGUCUUCAAUGUCGAAUGUGUACAUUUGACUCUAUUAGAUGUUGUGUUUCCCAAAUGUCUUCAAUGUCGAAUGUGUACAUUUGACUCUAUUAGAUGUUGUGUUUCCCAAAUGUCUAACCCGAUCCGUCCAACCACACGCAAUUUUCUCUUUCACCUGAUCAAAAAUAGUAUAUUCAUCGUAUUUCAAAAAAAUUGA